rnacentral:rRNA from 1 species
CCUACGGGGGGCAGCAGUGGGGAAUAUUGCGCAAUGGGCGAAAGCCUGACCCAGCAACGCCGCGUGAAGGAAGAAGGCUUUCGGGUUGUAAACUUCUUUUGUCAGGGAAGAGUAGAAGACGGUACCUGACGAAUAAGCCACGGCUAACUACGUGCCAGCAGCCGCGGUAAUACGUAGGUGGCAAGCGUUGUCCGGAUUUACUGGGUGUAAAGGGCGUGUAGCCGGGUUGACAAGUCAGAUGUGAAAUCCUGCGGCUUAACCGCAGAACUGCAUGUGAAACUGUUGAUCUUGAGUACUGGAGAGGCAGACGGAAUUCCUAGUGUAGCGGUGAAAUGCGUAGAUAGUAGGAGGAACACCAGUGGCGAAGGCGGUCUGCUGGACAGCAACUGACGGUGAGGCGCGAAAGCGUGGGGAGCAAACAGGAUUAGAUACCCUAGUAGUC